rnacentral:rRNA from 1 species
UACGUAGGAUGCAAGCGUUGUUCGGAAUUACUGGGCGUAAAGAGUACGUAGGCGGUUUGAUAAGUCUGAAAUUAAAGACUGAGGCUUAACCUCAGGAAUGUAUCGGAAACUGUCAGACUAGAGGACAAUAGAGGAAGUCGGAAUUCUCAGUGUAGCGGUGAAAUUCGUAGAUAUUCGCAAGAACACCAGUGGCGAAGGCGGCUGACUGGUCCGGUACUGACGCUGAGGUGCGAAAGCGUGGGGAGCAAACAGG